rnacentral:rRNA from 1 species
UGCCAGCCGCCGCGGUAAUACGGAGGGGGUUAGCGUUGUUCGGAAUUACUGGGCGUAAAGCGCACGUAGGCGGACUAGUCAGUCAGAGGUGAAAUCCCAGGGCUCAACCCUGGAACUGCCUUUGAUACUGCUAGUCUUGAGUUCGAGAGAGGUGAGUGGAAUUCCGAGUGUAGAGGUGAAAUUCGUAGAUAUUCGGAGGAACACCAGUGGCGAAGGCGGCUUACUGGACCGAUAUUGACACUGAGGUGCGAAAGCGUGGGGAGCAAACAGGAUUAGAUA